rnacentral:rRNA from 1 species
AUUGAACGCUGGCGGCAUGCCUAACACAUGCAAGUCGAACGAUUGGCGGACGGGAGAGUAAUGUCUGGGAAACUGCUUGAUGGCGGGGGAUAACUACUGGAAACGGUAGCUAAUCCCGCAUACCAUCGGAUGUGCCCAGAUGGGAUUGGCUAGUAGUUGGGGUAAAGGCUCCCCUAGGCGACGAUCCCUAGCUGGUCUGAGAGGAUGACCAGCCACACUGGAACUGAGAAACGGUCCAGACUCCUACGGGAGGCAGCAGUGGGGAAUAUUGGACAAUGGGCGCAAGCCGUAUGCAGCCAUGCCGCGUGUAUGAAGAAGGCCUUCGGGUGGUAAAGUACUUUCAGCGGGGAGGCGUUACCCGCAGAAGAAGCACCGGCUAACUCCGUGCCAGCAGCCGCGGUAAUUC